AUGUGCUCCGUGCAUUCCUCUUUGUGCUGGGGCGGCCGAGCUCCCGGCAGCCCCACUGCCGCCCCACCGGCCAGGGUGGCUGAAGCUGGGGGGGGGGGCAGCAUUAGUGGGGCUUGCACCCCGCUUUUUUUGGGGUCCCUCCUCCCCCCCAGGUCGCGUUUUCCCUCUGCCGAAGCUGUUUUGGGGUGGCUGCAUGGGGAAGGGGCCCUGCAACAGUUGCCCCAAAAGCUGGGGUGCCAGAGCCCGGGUGGGAUCAACGGGGCUGGGGCCACUUAUGGGGGAUCCCCUCCCAAACUGGGGCAGGAGGCGGCCCCCCAGCUGCCCCCCAGCCCCAGGGACCCCCCCGGGCCCUGUGAGGACACCCGAAGGAGACAGGACAGGGUGGGGGGCGACCUCACUGUCCCCCCACAGCCCCGCUGUCCCCUCACCACUGACCCAGGGGGUGGCUUUGCAGCCCCCUGUCCCCCACCUGGGUGUCCCCCCUGUCCCUGCAGAGGGUGGCCCUGUCCCCUCCUGGGGGGUGCCGACCCCUAUAUGUGUGCUCCCCCCAUCCCCUCCCUUCCCGGGGGUGUCUUUUGCCCCCAUCCCAUCCCAGGGCAGCCCUGCGGUCCCCAUCCCCUCCCUUGUGGGGUGGGGGUCCCACAUCCCACCCCGGGGUGCCCCCAGCCCCAUAUACCCGGGGUUGUUCCCUGCCUGGGGAAAAGGUGUCGGGGGGGGGGUUCCCCUAUUAGUUUGGGGUGUCGUUUGCCCGGGGGUGCCCCCGCAGCCCCGUGCGCCCCCGGGGGUGGCCGCUGUCCCCGUCCCCGUCCCCGUCCCCGUCCCCUACCUGUGCAGCCGGUGCGGGUCCCUCCGUGCGCUCCGCGGGCGCGCCCUGCCCGGCGGGGGGGCAGAGGGGAGGCUGAGCCGCCCGGCAUCGCCGCCCCUUCCUCCCUCCUCCUCCUCCUCCUCCUCCUCCUCCUCCUCCUCCUCCUCCCUCCCUGCCCCACGGCCCGCCCCCCCCCCGUCCCCCGGCAGGAGGCCCCCUACGCCCUGGGGUGGCCC
rnacentral:lncRNA from 1 species